CCUAAUAGGAAAUUUAAGAGCGUACGGUGGAUGCCUUGACUCCAAGAAGGUGAUGAAGGACGUGGCUUGGCGGCGAUACGCUUCGGGGAGGUGCCUAGCAACCUUUGAUCCGGAGAUGUCCGAAUGGGGGAACCCAUCCCGAGUAAUUUCGGGAUAUCUCGUCACAUUAGGCGAGAAAUUUACCCAGUGAAGUAAAACAUUUCAGUAACUGGAGGAAAAGAGAACAAUCAGCCUCGUCUGGCUUCGGCUAGACGGGUAGUAAUUUCGUUAGUAGCGGCGAGCGAAAACGAAUCAGCCCAAACCUGACCGCAUCUCACUGCGUUCGAUGCGGAAUUAUCAAUUUACAAUGAAAAAAUCUUCAAACAUUAAUCAUUGAUUGAAAAUUGCAAAUUAAAAAUUGAAAAUUCCACUCGAGCAUAGCGAGAUGUGGUUGGGGGUAAUAAGGCGACAACGUCUCAACUUCGGUUGAGAGAAGAGUUAGAAAAUAUCUGGUUAGAUGAAUCCUAUGGAAAAUGGAACCCAAGAGGGUAAUAGUCCCGUAAUCGAAAAUCAGACAUCUCUUUUGUUGUUGUUCUUGAGUACCUCGAGACAUGAAUAGCUCGGGGGAAUUUGCCGGAACUAACCGGUAAGGCUAAAUACUCUUGGAGAUCGAUAGUGAACUAGUACCGUGAGGGAAAGGUGAAAAGUAGCCCGAGAGGGCGGUGAAAUAGACCUGAAACCGUAUGUUUACAAGGAGUGGGAGCUGUGCUUCGCACAGAAUUUUCUGUGUGGGGCGCGGCCACCGCGUGCCUAUUGAAGAAUGAGCCAACGAGUUUAUGUAUGCGGCUGCCUAAGUGCCCAAAAAGCGCGGAGGCAUAGCGAAAGCGAGUGUUAAUAGCGCGUUUCCGCCUUUGGCGGAUUAGUCGUAUAUAUAAGACCCGAAGCCAGAGCGAGCUUGUCAUGAGCAGGGUGAACUUCGUCGAAAGACGGGGGGAGGCCCGAACCGGUGAGCCGUGCAAUACUCUCGGAUGACUUGUGAUAAGAAGUGAAAAGCUAAUCGAGCCUGGUAAUAGCUGGUUCUCUCCGAAAUAACUUUUGGGUUAGCGUCGAGCGUAUUUCUAAGGGGUAGAGCACUGGAAGGUUUGGACAGGUCGCAAGAUCGCUAAACCUAUCAAACUCCGAAUACUUAGAAUAAUUUACUCGGCAGUUAGACUCCGGGGGCUAAGCUCCGGCGGUCAAAAAGGAAACAGCCUAGAUCUCUAUUUAAGGUCCCUAAAUUCAUGCUAAGUGCACUUAAGGAGGUGAAAUUUCUCCGACACUGAGGAGGUUGGCUUAGAAGCAGCCAUCCUUUAAAGAAAGCGUAACAGCUCACUCAGUCAGAGAUUUUGCACCGCAGAUUCAUGGGGCUAAGCAUGAUACCGAAACUGAGGGGGUAUGUGCUUCGCACAGAAUUUUCAAGUAACAAUUUUCAAUUUACAAUCAAUUCUCAAUGAUUUAAUUUUCAAACAUUGAGAAGUGAAAGUUCAAUGAAAACUGCGAACGAAAUUAAAAAUUGAAAAUUCUGUGCGGAGCGUGGACCCGGUAGGAGAGUAUUCCGAUCUGCACUGAAGGCGAAGGGGUGACCCACGCUGGAGCGUUCGGAAGUAAGAAUGUUGGCACAAGUAACCACAAUGCGGGUGAGAAACCCGCACGCCGAAAGAACAAGGUUUCCCUCUCAACGUUUGUCGGAGAGGGGUUAGUCGGUCCUAAGGAAAUGGUGAGAACCGCAUCCGAUGGACACACGGUUAAUAUUCCGUGACUGUUUUUGCAAAUGACGGGAGGACGAAGGUGAGUAUGUGUUGCGCAUUAUCGGAUUUGACGUCCGUGCUUUAAGGAAGUUGUCUAGGAAAAUCCGGAUAACUGAUUUCAAUAUCGAUUCCAAGAAGAGCGGAAAUGCCCCGCUUCGGCGUGGUAAAUAACACAAAGCCACCUUCCAAGAAAAUUCUCUAAUCCGCCUUCGGGCGAAAUUGCAAGAACAACCGUACCGCAAACCGAAACAGGUGUUCAGCUCGAGUAGAGCAAGGCGAACGAGUGAGAAGUCCCCAAGGAACUCGGCAAAAAAGCAGCCGUAACUUCGGAAUAAGGCUUUCCCUCCCCACUUUUGGUAGGAUAAGAGAAUGUAUAUUCUCUAUCUAAUUCAAGCGAUUAAAUAAUUCUUUGCUUGAUACCAAAAGUGGGGAGGGACGCAGCUAAAGUAUCUCUGGCAACUGUUUACCAAAAACACAGCUCCCUGCGAACUCAGAAGAGGAUGUAUAGGGGGUGACACCUGACCAAUGCCAGAAGGUUAAACGCGAGUGGUCUAUGUCGUUAAGACAAAGGCUGGCUUGUGUAAGCCCUGGUGAAUGUCGGCAAUAACUAUAAAGACAAUUGUAGUUAUAAAAUCUAGCUAUAUGCGGGAAAACCUAAGUAUCCAUCUGCUACUCGUCAUAAUCGAAAUGGCAGUAACAAUGCAGUGGUGUAGACAAUCCGCAGGAAAGAUUCUGAUAAGCAACGAAUUAAAAAAUGAAAAGUGAUUCGUGGCUUAAGUCAAUUCCUCAAAAUAUAGGAAACUAUAUUGCCGGUUUUGUAGACGGAGAAGGAAGCUUCAAUGUCUCAUUACGAAAGAGAGAUGAUCAUUCUCUCGGCUGGCAAGUGGUAUUGACCUUAAAUGUUGCUCAACGCGACAAAACAGUUCUCGCACUUAUAAAGCACUAUUUAGGGUGUGGUAGAUUGCAAGAACGCAAAGAUGGGGUUUGGUACUUUGUAGUACAGAAUCCCACAGCAAUUGAAGAAAGAGUAAUUCCUUUCUUCAGAAAAUACACUUUUCUUUCAGCAGGAAAAAAGAAAAAUUUCUCGAUUUUUUCUCAAAUUGCCAAAGUGAUCUGUAAAAAAGAUCACUUAAGUAAUGAAGGAAUGAUGACAGUCAUAAAACUUCGAGAAAGACUAAAUGAAGGAAAAGGUAGAAAAAGGAAGUAUAAUCUGGAAAAUUAUAAAAAUUCCUUAUCAGAAUAUCCUCAGAGACUAUACGCUAGACCAAAGCCUAGAAGUAGGAUUUGGAAGAUAUAGUCCGAUCUCAUUGGCGACAAUGAGGCACUCAGUAGCUACUCGCUGAGUAAUAAAAAGGACGAAUUGUCCUAAGGUAGCGAAAUUCCUUGUCCAGUAAGUUUGGACGCGCACGAAUGGUGUAAUGACUGGAGAACUGUCUCGGGGACCUGCUCGGUGAAAAUACAAUACCGGUGAAGAUGCCGGUUUCCUGCAGUUAGACGAAAAGACCCCGGGAGCUUUACUGCAACUUGAUAUUGAGCUUAUGAUUACGAUGCGUAGCAUAGAUGGGAGACUUUGAAGUCUUGAUUUCGGUUAAGAUGGAGUCGCCAGUGAAAUACCAUUCUUCUAGAUUGUAAGUCCUAACCUUAACGGAAAAAACGUAAAGAGACAGUAUCUGGCGGGCAGUUUUAGUGGGGCGCUAUCCUCCUAAAAAGUAACGGAGGAGUCUAUUAAGGUACUCUAGGCGCGAAUGGAAACCGUGCCGAUAGUGUAAUGGCAUAAGAGUGCUUGACUGUGAGGCGUACAUGCCAAGCAGGUGCGAAAGCAGAGCAUAGUGAACCGACGGUCCGUAUUAGAGGCGGCCGGAGAUUAUCGGAUAAAAGCUACCCCGGGGAUAACAGGCUGGUUGCGCCUAAGCGUCCAUAGCGACGGCGCAGUUCGGCACCUCGAUGUCGGCUCAACUUAUCCUGGAGGUGGAGAAGCUUCCAAGGGUAUGGCUGUUCGCCAUUUAAAAAGUUACGCGAGCUGGGUUCAGACCGUUCAGAACAUGAAGCAUGAAUAAAGAAUAAUGAAUCAUGAGUUGAGCAGUCUGAAUCAAUCGAACUGUUAAAAUUUUUGUUUAUGAAAAGAUAAUAAAAGGUGAACUAACCUAAAUCACGGCGGUCUUUUGUAGAAAUGCAAAAGUACGAAACUGAUUAAUAUCGGUGAAAUCCUAAUGCGUAGGCAAUGCCUACACAAGGACAACAUCGAGGGAAUUAAAUUGCUUAAUAAAAAAACCGCCCCAUUUUUAAAUGAGGCGGGUAACACCGGGGCAUCAGGCGGAGGAUGAAAAAUAUGGCUUAAAUUAAGCACUUUUAGCCCGUAGAGACUAAACAUCAGAUGUCUUAACUCGUAAGAGAAAGAUAAAGUUAUAGUCCAUUCCUUACAGUAAUGUGAGAAAAGAAGCGUGAGACAGGUUGGACUCCUAUCUACUGCAGGCGUUCGAUUUUUGAGGGGAUUUGACUCUAGUAAAUUUUGCUACUUCACGGAGUAAUCUGUGAUGACAAAGUGGCUAUAACGGUGAAAUCUUGUAAACGUUUGGUCUGUUGAUAACUAUUGCCGGCCUAGUCCGUAGGUAGUGGUACAAUGGUAAGUGUAGUCUUACUUGAGGACCAGAAAAAUACAAGACAAUACCGUGGGAAGUCGAUUACUAAAACAUGAAUAAUGAACAAAAGAUAAUUCAAUUACUCGAAGAAAUUCGAGAUCAGCAGAAACAAAAUGUUGAAAAAGCCUUAGCUAUGCAAAAAGUAGCUACCAAAAAAAUAUUCUGGCUUCUGAUUGUCCUUGUCUUAGUGAUUGUUAUUCUAGUAAAGAUAAUUUGACCCCGUAACGACUUGUUCUGCCUAAGGUGGAACAGACUUGUACAGAAAGGAAUCGUUUCUUUGAAGACGACUGUUCUUACAGGUAAUACGCCAAUCCCGCACCCUUUUUAAAAGGACGGGAAAGAUAUAGUCUGCGCUCCUAGUGAUAGGGGAAUUACGCGACGAGAGGACCGAGUUGAACCGACCUCUGGUGUGCCUGCUGUUCUGCCAAGAGCAUCGCAGGGUAGCUAAGUCGGGAACGGAUAAAUUCUGAAAGCAUCUAAGAAUGAAGCCAACCCCAAGAUUAGGAAUCGUUAUUAGGGCCCUAGGAGAUGACUAGGUUGAUAGGCGCUAGGUGUAAGCAUCGUAAGGUGUUGAGCCGAGGCGUACUAAUUGCCCAAAUCCUAUUAGGAA
rnacentral:rRNA from 1 species